UUAAUUUAUUUAGCUCUUCUAUUUGAGCUGCUGCUUCAACUUCUCAGCAUAAAGCAUGUGCAGUGUGUAAAUCUUUCAGGAUUUUCCACUGCUUACCUCAAAUGAAUUUUGUUCUGGGAGGAUAUCUAUGUGGAUUUAUUUAGAUUUUUUCCCCUUGAUUUAUAUUUGUAUAUUUUUAUGCAGUUAUUAAGGAUUGCAUAUAUUUUAGCUAAAGUGCUGGGAAAGCUUGUGGAUUUGCAGUGUUUGAUUUUGAUAGCUAUUGUGAAGAUGUCUAGUCUUUCAAAAAAUUACUUCAAAGUAUACUUUAAUCCACAUCCAAAAAUUAUUUUUUCAAGCAUAUAUAGAUUAUACAUGUAUUACUAAUAUAUAAACUGUAUGCCUGUCAUCAGUGUGUAUUGCCCUGAGAGUAUAUGUGUUUGUAUUUAAAGUAUUCAUGGUGGAAAUUGUAUCAUGCUGCAUUCAUCCUG
rnacentral:lncRNA from 1 species